rnacentral:rRNA from 1 species
UACAUAGGAUGCAAGCGUUAUCCGGAUUUACUGGGCGUAAAACGAGCGCAGGCGGGUUAACAAGUUUGGUAUGAAAGGCUUUUGCUUAACGAAAGUUUGUAUCAAAAACUGUUAAUCUAGAGUGUAGUAGAGAGUUCUGGAAUUCCAUGUGGAGCGGUGGAAUGCGUAGAUAUAUGGAAGAACACCAGUGGCGAAAGCGGCUCUCUGGUCUGUAACUGACGCUGAGGUUCGAAAGCGUGGGUAGCAAACAGG